rnacentral:rRNA from 1 species
UACAGAGGGUGCGAGCGUUGUCCGGAAUCACUGGGCGUAAAGGGCGCGUAGGUGGCGGCCCAAGUCCAUGGUGAAAGCUCGAUGCUCAACAUCGAGUCGGCCACGGAUACUGGGUUGCUCGAGCACUGUAGGGGCAGAUGGAAUUCCGGGUGUAGCGGUGGAAUGCGUAGAGAUCCGGAAGAACACCGGUGGCGAAGGCGGUCUGCUGGGCGAGUUGCUGGACACUGAGGCGCGACAGCGUGGGGAGCAAACAGG